rnacentral:rRNA from 1 species
AACCUACCCUAAAGACGAGGAUAACCAUUGGAAACAGUGGCUAAGACUGGAUAGGAAGAUAAAAGGCAUCUUUUAUCUUUUAAAAGACCUAGUAAUAGGUAUGCUUUAGGAGGGGCUUGCGCCAUAUUAGUUAGUUGGUAGGGUAAUGGCCUACCAAGACGAUGAUGUGUAGCUGGACUGAGAGGUUGAACAGCCACAUUGGGACUGAGACACGGCCCAAACUCCUACGGGAGGCAGCAGUAGGGAAUUUUCGGCAAUGGAGGAAACUCUGACCGAGCAACGCCGCGUGAAUGACGAAGUACUUCGGUAUGUAAAGUUCUUUUAUCAAGGAAGAAAAGCAAAUGGCGAACCAUUUGUUUGCCGGUACUUGAUGAAUAAGCCCCGGCUAAUUAUGUGCCAGCAGCCGCGGUAAGACAUAAGGGGCAAGUGUUAUCCGGAAUUAUUGGGCGUAAAGGGUGCGUAGGCGGUCUAGUAAGUCAGUGGUGUAAUGGCAACGCUUAACGUUGUCCGGCUAUUGAAACUGCUAAACUUGAGUUAGAUAGAGGCGAGUGGAAUUCCAUGUGUAGCGGUAAAAUGCGUAAAUAUAUGGAGGAACACCAGAGGCGUAGGCGGCUCGCUGGGUCUUAACUGACGCUGAGGCACGAAAGCGUGGGGAGCAAACAGGAUUAGAUACCCUGGUAGUCCACGCCGUAAACGAUGAGUACUAAGUGUCGGGUUAAACCGGUACUGAAGUUAACACAUUAAGUACUCCGCCUGAGUAGUACGUACGCAAGUAUGAAACUUAAAGGAAUUGACGGGACUCCGCACAAGCGGUGGAUCAUGUUGUUUAAUUCGAAGAUACCCGAAAAACCUUACCAGGUCUUGACAUGUUUUUGCAAAAUGAUAGUAAUAUCGUGGAGGUUACCAGAAACACAGGUGGUGCAUGGUUGUCGUCAGCUCGUGUCGUGAGAUGUUAGGUUAAGUCCUAAAACGAGCGAAACCCUUAUCGUUAGUUGCCAGCACGUUAUGGUGGGGACUUUAACGAGACUGCCAAUGAUAAAUUGGAGGAAGGUGAGGAUCACGUCAAAUCAGCAUGCCCCUUAUGACCUGGGCUACAAACGUGAUACAAUGGCUGUUACAAAGGGUAGCUGAAACGCAAGUUCUUGGCCAAUCCCCAAAAACAGUCCCAGUCCGGAUUGAAGUCUGCAACUCGACUUCAUGAAGUUGGAAUCGCUAGUAAUCGCGAAUCAGCAUGUCGCGGUGAAUACGUUCUCGGGGUUUGUACACACCGCCCGUCAAACCACGAAAGUUGGCAAUACCCCAAAACGGUAGCCUA